rnacentral:rRNA from 1 species
CAGUAGGAUAGGCGAAGCGUACGAUUGGAUUGUACGUCCAAGCAGUGAGAUUGAGUGUUAGGCAAAUCCGGCACUCUUAAGAUUGAGCUGUGAUGGGGAGAGGAAAUUGUUUCCUCGAGUCGUUGAUUUCACACUGCCGAGAAAAGCCUCUAGAUAGAUAAUAGGUGCCCGUACCGCAAACCGACACAGGUAGUCAAGAUGAGAAUUCUAAGGUGAGCGAGCGAACUCUCGUUAAGGAACUCGGCAAAAUGACCCCGUAACUUCGGGAGAAGGGGUGCUCUUUAGGGUGCAAGCCCAGAAGAGCCGCAGUGAAUAGGCCCAAGCGACUGUUUAUCAAAAACACAGGUCUCUGCUAAACCGUAAGGUGAUGUAUAGGGGCUGACGCCUGCCCGGUGCUGGAA